GUAAUAUGUACAGGUUAGUCGAGGUAAUAUGUACAGGUUAGUCGAGGUAAUAUGUACAGGUUAGUCGAGGUAAUAUGUACAGGUUAGUCGAGGUAAUAUGUACAGGUUAGUCAAGGUAAUAUGUACAGGAGGUACAGGUUAGUCAAGGUAAUAUGUACAGGAGGUACAGGUUAGUCGAGGUAAUAUGUACAGGUUAGUCGAGGUAAUAUGUACAGGUUAGUCAAGGUAAUAUGUACAGGGGGUACAGGUUAGUCAAGGUAAUAUGUACAGGAGGUACAGGUUAGUCAAGGUAAUAUGUACAGGAGGUACAGGUUAGUCGAGGUAAUAUGUACAGGAGGUACAGGUUAGUCAAGGUAAUAUGUACAGGUUAGUCGAGGUAAUAUGUACAGGUUAGUCAAGGUAAUAUGUACAGGGGGUACAGGUUAGUCGAGGUAAUAUGUACAGGUUAGUCGAGGUAAUAUGUACAGGUUAGUCGAGGUAAUAUGUACAGGUUAGUCGAGGUAAUAUGUACAGGUUAGUCGAGGUAAUAUGUACAGGUGGUACAGGUUAGUCAAGGUAAUAUGUACAGGUUAGUCAAGGUAAUAUGUACAGGUUAGUCGAGGUAAUAUGUACAGGUUAGUCAAGGUAAUAUGUACAGGGGGUACAGGUUAGUCGAGGUAAUAUGUACAGGGGGUACAGGUUAGUCAAGGUAAUAUGUACAGGUUAGUCAAGGUAAUUUGUACAGGGGGUACAGGUUAGUCAAGGUAAUAUGUACAGGUUAGUCAAUGUAAUUUGUACAGGUUAGUCAAGGUAAUUUGUACAGGUUAGUCAAGGUAAUUUGUACAGGUUAGUCAAGGUAAUAUGUACAGGGGGUACAGGUUAGUCGAGGUAAUAUGUACAGGGGGUACAGGUUAGUCAAGGUAAUUUGUACAGGUUAGUCAAGGUAAUUUGUACAGGUUAGUCAAGGUAAUUUGUACAGGUUAGUCAAGGUAAUAUGUACAGGUUAGUCAAGGUAAUAUGUACAGGUUAGUCAAGGUAAUAUGUACAGGUUAGUCAAGGUAAUAUGUACAGGUUAGUCGAGGUAAUAUGUACAGGGGGUACAGGUUAGUCGAGGUAAUAUGUACAGGUUAGUCGAGGUAAUAUGUACAGGUUAGUCGAGGUAAUAUGUACAGGUUAGUCGAGGUAAUAUGUACAGGUUAGUCGAGGUAAUAUGUACAGGUUAGUCGAGGUAAUAUGUACAGGUUAGUCGAGGUAAUAUGUACAGGUUAGUCGAGGUAAUAUGUACAGGUUAGUCGAGGUAAUAUGUACAGGUUAGUCGAGGUAAUAUGUACAGGUUAGUCGAGGUAAUAUGUACAGGUUAGUCGAGGUAAUAUGUACAGGUUAGUCGAGGUAAUAUGUACAGGUUAGUCGAGGUAAUAUGUACAGGUUAGUCAAGGUAAUAUGUACAGGUUAGUCGAGGUAAUAUGUACAGGGGGUACAGGUUAGUCAAGCUAAUAUGCAAUACCAGGUUCUGUAAUGAUGCCUCAUAUAGGCAGAUUACCUUGAUGCCUUGUGCGCAGGCACUAUGGUGUUCUGCUUGAAACAUGUAGGUAUUACAGACUCGGUCAGGGACGUAGGGACGUUCCCCUGGCAGACCGGGGUCCGUAGGGACGUUCCCCUGGCAGACCGGGGUCCGUAGGGACGUUCCCCUGGCAGACCGGGGUCCGUGGGGACGUUCCCCUGGCAGACCGGGGUCCGUAGGGACGUUCCCCUGGCAGACCGGGGUCCGUGGGGACGUUCCCCUGGCAGACCGGGGUCCGUGGGGACGUUCCCCUGGCAGACCGGGGUCCGUGGGGACGUUCCCCUGGCAGACCGGGGUCCGUGGGGACGUUCCCCUGGCAGACCGGGGUCCGUGGGGACGUUCCCCUGGCAGACCGGGGUCCGUGGGGACGUUCCCCUGGCAGACCGGGGUCCGCGGGGACGUUCCCCUGGCAGACCGGGGUCCGCGGGGACGUUACCCUGGCAGACCGGGGUCCGCGGGGACGUUACCCUGGCAGACCGGGGUCCGCGGGGACGGUACCCUGGCAGACCGGGGUCCGUGGGGACGGUACCCUGGCAGACCGGGGUCCGUGGGGACGGUACCCUGGCAGACCGGCUGGCAGACCGGGGUCCGUAGGGACGGUACCCUGGCAGACCGGGGUCCGUGGGGACGGUACCGGGGUCCGUAGGGACGUUCCCUGGCAGACCGGGGUCCGUAGAGACUGUACUCUAGUAGGGACGGUACCCUGGCAGACCGGGGUCCGUAGGGACGGUACUCUAGUAGGGCUUUGGUCAGAAGUAGUGCAGUCGAUACGGUGCCGUUUGGGAAGCUGGAUCUAUUGUUUAUGUUUGUUUUCCCUC